rfam:TPA: Bos taurus chromosome 24, whole genome shotgun sequence.
CGUGGGUCCAAGCCUGUAGCCCCAAAUCGGAUAAUCUCUGCAGCUGAUAACAAGCAAAAGAGAAGCCAGGCAACAGCCAUAUUCAGCCCCAGAGAUCUAACCUUCUCGGG